rnacentral:rRNA from 1 species
AUGUUGGGUCUGGGAUACCAUAACCUUCUUGUGGCAGCUCUCCUGCUGCUCUGCUCAGCGAUGAUCUCCUCCUGGGCGGCGCGAGACGACGUCGUGGCCUACAGCUUAGCCACCAUCAACACAACCACGGCCAGCGGCCUGACGGUCGUCACCAACCAGUCACAGGUAGUGUCAGGUCCAACCCUGUUCGGCAUCGACCACCCGACUCUCUCCGCGGUGAACGAGUCCGCCGGGUUCGUGGUCCUCUCGCGGACGGUCGAGCUCUGGCGCGGCGGUGAUGGCCGGCAGGGACCUCCCCGCCAGGCAUCCUUCAACACAAGCUUCACCAUGGACGGGACCUCCCCUGUGGCGUUCGUCGUCCUCCUCGACCGGUUCCCGACGUAUAAGGGAAAGUUUAUCAGCGUGACGACGUUCAUCUCGGGCCCCGGCGACCCCACGCAGCGGGGCAGCAACCGCUUUGCCGCCGUCGAGGUUGGCACGGUGAAGUCGUACGCCCCCGAGUCUCCACGCGUGGGCCUCAACGUCACCGUCACGCCCAGCGGCGCGACGCGGAUCGUGACCGUGUGGAUCGACUACCACGCCGUGGUGUCCCGCCUCUCAGUGUUCGUCGGCCCCGCCGGCCGGACUAAGCCCCGCGAUCAGCUCGUUGGCGGCUCGGCCGUCAACAUGACGGGUCGCACCAACCAGUCCGCGUUCGUCGGCUUCUCCGCCUCCAGGGUGACCUAUGUCCUCGCCGGCAUCCGCGGCUGGGAUCUGACGGUGGAGAGGCUCUCGCCGGCUGCCGAGAAGGAUGAUAAUAAGAAGUCAUGGCUGGUGAUACUGCUCGCCGUUCUAGGAUCUGUGGCUUCCACGGCUGCCGUGGCCGCCGCCGUCGCUUUUUACUACAACUCCAGGUACAGGAGGUGGAAGAAGGACCUGGAGCAGCUGGCCAAGUCCAUGCAACGACUCCCGGGGAUGCCAUGUCGGAUCGACUUCUCCGACAUUAAGAAGGCCACCAAGAACUUCGACGGCACAAUGAAGUUGGGAUCAGGAACCUUUGGCUCCGUGUACAGAUGCAGGCUUCCUGCAGCACCAGAAACGGGCCGUCCAGAAAUGGAGGUGGCCGUCAAGAAGUUCACGCGAAACGAGGACCGGCGCUUCGAUGACUUCCUGGAGGAGGUCAGCGUCAUCAACCGUCUGCGCCACAAGAACAUCGUCCCUCUCAUCGGUUGGUCUUACCAUGGCGGGGAGCCCCUCCUCAUCUUUGAGCUCAUGCCCAAUGGCAGCUUGGACCAACAUCUCUUCCAUCUAAGAACACCAAUUCUCCUAUGGGACACCCGCUAUGCCAUCGUGAGGGACAUAGCCACCGGCCUGCACUACGUUCAUCAUGAGUAUGAGCCCACGGUUCUUCAUCGCGACAUCAAGGCGAGCAACAUCAUGCUCGAUUCCACCUUUGGUGCCCGCCUGGGUGACUUCGGCAUUGCCUGCACGGUCCCUCUCGACCGUAACUCCGUCACCGGCCUCGCCGGGACACAGGGCUACAUAGCGCCGGAGUACGCUUGUAGCUAUAGAGCUACGAGGGAGACUGACAUCUAUGCGUUCGGUGUCGUCGUCCUCGAGAUCGUGACCAGUAGACGAGCGCUCGACGGGGAUGUCCCGUCUGAAGGUCACAUCACAGACUGGAUAUGGCGUUUCCAUUGGGAGGGAAAGUUGCUCGAUGCCAUGGAUCCCGUGCUUGCCAUGGCGGGGUUUGACGAUGAUGACGCCAAACGCCUAAUGUUGCUUGGCUUGGCGUGCACCAACCCAAACCCGUCGAACCGGCCAAGCAUGGCGGAAGUGGUGCAGGUUAUCACCAAAUUAAAGCUACCGCCGACCGUUCCUCCUAAGAAACCAACAUUUGUGUGGCCUCCACAAGGAUGGAAUUCAUUGAGCUCUUACUUUAGCACAGAGACAAGUACAAUUUAUGCAAGUGGCUCAUCAACCAAGGCCAGACAGGUGUAG